AGUGGACAUUGGCACAGGCUGGCUUUCUGUUCUUGGAGAAGGCCAAAAAUAAUCUCAGUAGAUUUAAUUAAAACUGCAGUGAACAGAUGGGGAAGAUGGAAAGAACUCCAACUGGAGACCACUCAUCUGUCUAGGUCUCUGCGAGCGUUUUAAUGAAGCCUUCGCUGUCUGCGGGUCCCACUACUGACACAUCCCUUUCUGGUUAUGCAACGGAGCGGAACGAUUACCCAGCAACUCCUCUUAAAGCGGCAGGAGCCUGGUUCUUAAACAGAAGUAUGACCUGACCUAAUCCAACGACUCCCACAGUAAAGCAACAAGCAUGCACAUGAAACAAGCUAUUAUGAUCACGGCCAUUUCCACAGCAUGGAAGGAACUCAGGAGAAGCACGUUUCAGGACCUCCCUAUUUUCCACCCACAAAGAUGACCCUGUAUCUCCCCUCCUGAAACACGAGUGUGCCCCUCCCACGCCUCUCUCGCAGGCGGCCACGUGGCCAAGUGCCCGGGAUCACGUCACACACUUGGCAGCGGCCGAGCCCAUCAUGUGCAUCACGUGCCCCUGGGCACCGCCCCCUUUGUCCCGGCUGCCGCCGCUAGGCCAAGUGACUCCUGGGACCCAGAACUCAUGACAGAAGAUUCAUGAAAUCGCCAUGACUCCCUCACCCCCAUCACGUGCCGGAAUUACUCCUGAAUUUGACAAAUACAUAAGCUGCCUGCAAA